rnacentral:rRNA from 1 species
CCUACGGGCGGCUGCAGUGGGGAAUAUUGCACAAUGGGGGGAACCCUGAUGCAGCAAAGCCGCGUGGGUGAAGAAGUACUCAGGUAUGUAAAGCCCUGUUAGCAGGGAAGUAAAUGAAGGUACCUGACCAAGAAGCCCCGGCAAACUACGUGACAGCAGCAGCGGUAAUACGUCGGGGGCCAGCGUUAUACGGAUUUACUGGGUGUAAAGGGAGCGUAGACGGCAAGGCAAGUCUGGAGUGCAAGCCCGGGGCCCAACCACUGGACUGGUUUGGAAACUGUGUUGCUGCAGUGCAGGAGGGGUAAGCGAAAUUCCUAGGGUAGCGGGGAAAUGCGUAGAUAUUAGGAGGAAUACCGUUGACAAAGGCGGCUUACUGGACUGUAACUGACGUUGAGGCUCGAAGUCGUGGUGUGCAAACAGGAUUAGUACCCUUGUAGUC